GACGAAUGCUGGCUGCGUGCUUAACACAUGCAAGUCGAACGGUGAAGGAGGGCUUGCCCUCCGGAUCAGUGGCGAACGGGUGAGUAACACGUGGGCAACCUGCCCCUCACUCUGGGAUAACGCCGGGAAACCGGCGCUAAUACCGGAUACGACCAGGCGCGACAUCUCGCCUGGUGGAAAGAAUUUCGGUGAGGGAUGGGCCCGCGGCCUAUCAGCUAGUUGGUGGGGUAACGGCCCACCAAGGCGACGACGGGUAGCCGGCCUGAGAGGGCGACCGGCCACACUGGGACUGAGACACGGCCCUGACUCCUACGGGAGGCAGCAGUGGGGAAGAUUGCGCAAUGGGCGAAAGCCUGACGCAGCGACGCAGCGUGAGGGACGAAGGCCUUCGGGUUGUAAACCUCUUUCAGCGGGGACGAAGCGAAAGUGACGGUACCCGCAGAAGAAGCACCGGCUAACUACGUGCCAGCAGCCGCAGUAACAC
rnacentral:rRNA from 1 species